CGUAGGGUGCAAGCGUUAAUCGGAAUUACUGGGCGUAAAGCGUGCGCAGGCGGUUUUGUAAGACUGUCGUGAAAUCCCCCGGGCUCAACCUGGGAAUGGCGAUGGGGACUGCAAGGCUAGAGUUUGGCAGAGGGGGGUAGAAUUCCACGUGUAGCAGUGAAAUGCGUAGAUAUGUGGAGGAACACCGAUGGCGAAGGCAGCCCCCCUGGGUCAAAACUGACGCUCAUGCACGAAAGCGUGGGGAGCAAACAGGAUUAGAUACCCUGGUAGUCCACGCCCUAAACGAUGUCUACUAGUUGUCGGGUCUUAAUUGACUUGGUAACGCAGCUAACGCGUGAAGUAGACCGCCUGGGGAGUACGGUCGCAAGAUUA
rnacentral:rRNA from 1 species